rnacentral:lncRNA from 1 species
CUCUUAAUCCACUGGCAACUACAGCAUCUUGGUUGUCAGACUAAACCAUCAAUAUCCAGCAAACAAAUUCAUCUCCUCAACCAUUACCAAUUUAUCAUAAGGCUAAAACGUUGUUGGAAGUCUCUAAUCAAUUUAGACCUGAAACAACUCAAUACACAAAAGGAAAGAACAACAUCACCAUAAGUAAGUUAAAAAGACAGCAAUGCCAGCAAAUCCCAUUGACAAAACCUAAAAAAGGACACGACCCAUGUGAUUUUUUUGGCUCAAAAAUAGACAAAUUUGCAUCUAGGUCAAACAUUUUCUAAACAAUUAAUAUUUCCCAACAUAGUACCAAGUCAAAAGAAGGGCAAAAAGAAAAAAAAAUCAAAUUUUGAUCUAAAGCAAUGCGGAGCGGGAUCUGAUCUGAGUUAAAAACAAAAAAAAAUGAAAUAACUUAAAAGCAAAUCUGGUUACCCUUUUGAAAACCCAAGUGCAUAGAUCCAAAGUCGGAACUCAACGAUCAAUAAUAACCAAAUAAAUGAAUUUUCACAUAGUCGAGACUCAA